rnacentral:rRNA from 1 species
CGUACGCUUCUUUUUCCACCGGAGCUUGCUCCACCGGAAAAAGAGGAGUGGCGAACGGGUGAGUAACACGUGGGUAACCUGCCCAUCAGAAGGGGAUAACACUUGGAAACAGGUGCUAAUACCGUAUAACAAUCGAAACCGCAUGGUUUUGAUUUGAAAGGCGCUUUCGGGUGUCGCUGAUGGAUGGACCCGCGGUGCAUUAGCUAGUUGGUGAGGUAACGGCUCACCAAGGCCACGAUGCAUAGCCGACCUGAGAGGGUGAUCGGCCACAUUGGGACUGAGACACGGCCCAAACUCCUACGGGAGGCAGCAGUAGGGAAUCUUCGGCAAUGGACGAAAGUCUGACCGAGCAACGCCGCGUGAGUGAAGAAGGUUUUCGGAUCGUAAAACUCUGUUGUUAGAGAAGAACAAGGAUGAGAGUAACUGUUCAUCCCUUGACGGUAUCUAACCAGAAAGCCACGGCUAACUACGUGCCAGCAGCCGCGGUAAUACGUAGGUGGCAAGCGUUGUCCGGAUUUAUUGGGCGUAAAGCGAGCGCAGGCGGUUUCUUAAGUCUGAUGUGAAAGCCCCCGACUCAACCGGGGAGGGUCAUUGGAAACUGGGAGACUUGAGUGCAGAAGAGGAGAGUGGAAUUCCAUGUGUAGCGGUGAAAUGCGUAGAUAUAUGGAGGAACACCAGUGGCGAAGGC